UCUUCAGUCUGAGAAGAAUUUCUGUCUUUCAUUGAAGUUCCAAAGGCUUCUUAUUUUGAUGACUUUGCCUAAAGAAGGGAUUCUACAGCCAAAUGCUUUCUUUUUAACAUACCGAAUGAGUAAAAGUGCAAAAUAAGUACAGAACUAUCAAACAGCAACAAAUGUGCUUCUGCUGCCUACCACAGAAUUUUCCUUGGUGAGAAGAAAACCCUACAUUACAUUUCUUUUUGGCUUCUGUCUCUGCAGCCUCAGAGUUGAUGACGAAUGCAGUCCUGCUCCACUUUGAUUCCAUCUGGCUCUGGAAGGUGUUUCUGAAGAUUUGUGAACAGCAUUUGGAUUUGUUUGUUUUUAUUUAUAUUGUCUUUUUACUAUGAUGUAUAAAUAUGUCCUGUAAUGUCAUUGA
rnacentral:lncRNA from 1 species